AAAGAAAUUAAUGAUUAAACAAACUCCAUCCUAUGCAAUGUAUGGCCUUCUAAGUCUUUUUGCAGAGUUUGAAGAACCUCACUCGAUGGUUGACUAUUGACAUGGAUGCCAAUCCAUUUUGAAAAAGCUAAUGAAGCCAUUUUGUCUGCCGCCCUUUGCCUUGACCGUGAACAUGAGAUGCCCUUAACAACCAGUCCCGGUGCAACAACUUCCAAAUAUCUCGCAAUAUUGCAUUGCUACCAUCACUCCUGAUUUGUCCAUUAAUUAGUCGAACAACCACUAAGCUGUCUAUUUCCAGAGUGAUCCUCCGUGCACCCAUAUUCCAAGCUUGCAUCAGCCCAUCAUAGAUUCCCUAUAAUUCCGCCUCCACAAUAGAGCAUACACCAAUAUAGCGGGUAAAACCAACUUUCCAUUCUUCAUUAUGAUCACGUAUAAUGCCCCCUGCUGCAGCAAGUCCCGAUUGUUGAGUUAAAUAGAUAUUGAUUUAGUUGGUAAAAGAUUAAAAAAUUAAAAAAAAUUAAAAACAACAAUUUUUUGUUACAUGGGUAUUCUAUAUUUCAAUAAUUUUAUUUUUUUAAAAUUAAACAGCUUAAAUUAUUGUAACACUUCAAAAUAUAUAAGGUUAUAUGAAAUAAAUUAUCAAGAACUAGUUUAGUCUUGAUGGUUAUAUUCUCUAGAGAUCUUAAGUUCUAUCCACACCCUUCUCAUUUUUAUUUUUUUUUUAGUAAACUAGGAUAAAAACUACUCUAGAAUAUAUAUUAAAUGGAGUAAAUAAAUAAAUAAGUGUGGAUAAUAGUUUAAUGAUUAAGCAUUCUCUCUCUCUCUCCCCCUUACAUCCUAGGUUUAAGCCACAUCAAAUUGCCCUUUUAAAUUUUGAAAACUCUAACUAUUUAAACCAUUCUUCUAAUUAGACUAGGAUUUUGCUUCCUUUUCCAAUUCUCCUAAGAACUGUACUUCCAUCUUUUCUAUUUCAUCCCUCUUUCUUUUCUUUCUUAUUCUUUUCAUCAAAAUUAUGUUUCAUUGUUGAAAAUUGUUCUUGAUUACUCCAAAUGAAAUAAAUUCUCAAUUAAUCUCAUUCUUCCAACGAUUGUUGAAUUUAUCGUCAAUAAUCUUUGAAUUAUCAUCAAAAGAUCGAUUAGUACUCUUGUUUCAUUUUGUAGAACCCAUAAAAUUUUGUAAUAACAUCGUCUCUAUUAAUCUUCCAGUUCGAUUACUGAUCUUUUACAAAUUUUGUCGAAAAUCUUGUUAAUCUUGGUAAAUCUUGAAAACCAUUAUAUAUUCAUGUGUAAAUCCUAUUUGAAGGACUUGAUCUACGUGCCUCGGACUAGAUCCAUGCAAGAGGGACGUCACUCGAGACUCCGUUGACAGGUGUGUGUUCUUUUACAAGUGAAUUGGGAUAAAAUCGAGCCUAGUAUAGGGCCACACGAGCUUGUGGGCCACCUGUGUGGACUAGACGCCCCCAUACACGGCCAUAUUCUCCCUAAAACCCUAGGAUGUUCGAUUUUCACACGACCUAUGGCCUCUCAUACAGUCGUGUCACCCUUGAAGCUUAAAUUUUGCAUAUCUCAAACGGCCACACUUUGUUACACAACCUUGCCACACGGCUAUGUAUCCCAUCUACAUGGUCGUGUGUCCCCUGUAUCUCAAAUUUUACAAUUUUGACCUAAAAUUUUAGGUUUUAGUCAAUUUAGCUCCUGAAUAAUUUUUAAACUAUGUUUAGUGUUUUAAAUUAUACAAUUAGGUCCCUAAUUAUUUGAAUUAUGUUAGAAUCCAUGAUUGAGUGAAUUAUUAGGUCCUUGAUUAUAUGAAUUAUGUUAGAAUCCAUGAUUGACUGAAUUAAUUCGGUAAUUAUAUAUAUAUUUGCAUGAAUUAUGAAUAGUAUAUAUAACUAUUGUAUCUAUAAUUGGGAUCAUACAUAUAACAUGCUUUGUGUUACUGUUAAUAUAAAUACAUGAAAAGUAUGACUUUUGCUACUACUUUACUAUGUGUUAGUACAUUAAUUGCUAUCAUAUUUGAUAUGUAUUAAAUAUGUCACGUUGAAUUGGGAUGAUACGAUGUGAUCGGAAGAAUUCUAGCAGUUUAUCUGCAUUUAUCUAUUUUGUUGUGAUCUACAGCCAAGGGCAGAUUCCAUUUGUGGGUACUAUUAUGUAUUGAUCUGUCAUAAUUCGAUGUAGCAAAUUAAACUAGUUUUCACACUUAAGGAUCCUGAAUACAAGUAUUUUUAUUGUAUUUUAGUUAAGUUUCUUUAGUUUUACUUACAUUCAAUAAAAUGUGCAAAUUAAGUCUUUUAUUGACCUUAAGAUUCGAAUGAGGCCUGAGGGAGAGCUAACGUACUUUGUAAGUGUGCAGGAGACCAUUAAAAGGUAUUUUAGGUCAAUACUAGAUGCUAUGUCACAACACGAAAGGUCUGAUGUCGUAACAUAGGGAACAGAAUGAAGAAAACUCAAGUCUGCCUUCAAUGUUAGACACAGACUGAGGGUGUCGCGACAUACCCCUAAAGAUGGCUACAAAUGAGCAUACUAGUUGCUAUGUCGCGACACAGGUUUUGGUGUGUCAUAACAUCGACUUUUGGACGGAAAUAAAACAUUGUAAUUUAACCAUUUUUAACUAAAAAUAAAUUUAGCCGA
rnacentral:lncRNA from 1 species